rnacentral:rRNA from 1 species
CAUAGGUUAAUGAGGCGAACCGGGGGAACUGAAACAUCUAAGUACCCCGAGGAAAAGAAAUCAACCGAGAUUCCCCCAGUAGCGGCGAGCGAACGGGGAGCAGCCCAGAGCCUGAAUCAGUGUGUGUGUUAGUGGAAGCGUCUGGAAAGGCGCGCGAUACAGGGUGACAGCCCCGUACACAAAAAUGCACAUGCUGUGAGCUCGAUGAGUAGGGCGGGACACGUGGUAUCCUGUCUGAAUAUGGGGGGACCAUCCUCCAAGGCUAAAUACUCCUGACUGACCGAUAGUGAACCAGUACCGUGAGGGAAAGGCGAAAAGAACCCCGGCGAGGGGAGUGAAAAAGAACCUGAAACCGUGUACGUACAAGCAGUGGGAGCCUCUUUUAUGGGGUGACUGCGUACCUUUUGUAUAAUGGGUCAGCGACUUAUAUUCUGUAGCAAGGUUAACCGAAUAGGGGAGCCGAAGGGAAACCGAGUCUUAACUGGGCGUUAAGUUGCAGGGUAUAGACCCGAAACCCGGUGAUCUAGCCAUGGGCAGGUUGAAGGUUGGGUAACACUAACUGGAGGACCGAACCGACUAAUGUUGAAAAAUUAGCGGAUGACUUGUGGCUGGGGGUGAAAGGCCAAUCAAACCGGGAGAUAGCUGGUUCUCCCCGAAAGCUAUUUAGGUAGCGCCUCGUGAAUUCAUCUCCGGGGGUAGAGCACUGUUUCGGCAAGGGGGUCAUCCCGACUUACCAACCCGAUGCAAACUGCGAAUACCGGAGAAUGUUAUCACGGGAGACACACGGCGGGUGCUAACGUCCGUCGUGAAGAGGGAAACAACCCAGACCGCCAGCUAAGGUCCCAAAGUCAUGGUUAAGUGGGAAACGAUGUGGGAAGGCCCAGACAGCCAGGAUGUUGGCUUAGAAGCAGCCAUCAUUUAAAGAAAGCGUAAUAGCUCACUGGUCGAGU